AGAGUUUGAUCAUGGCUCAGAUUGAACGCUGGCGGCAGGCCUAACACAUGCAAGUCGAACGGUAACAGGAAGCAGCUUGCUGCUUUGCUGACGAGUGGCGGACGGGUGAGUAAUGUCUGGGAAACUGCCUGAUGGAGGGGGAUAACUACUGGAAACGGUGGCUAAUACCGCAUAACGUCGCAAGACCAAAGAGGGGGACCUUCGGGCCUCUUGCCAUCAGAUGUGCCCAGAUGGGAUUAGCUUGUUGGUGAGGUAACGGCUCACCAAGGCGACGAUCCCUAGCUGGUCUGAGAGGAUGACCAGCCACACUGGAACUGAGACACGGUCCAGACUCCUACGGGAGGCAGCAGUGGGGAAUAUUGCACAAUGGGCGCAAGCCUGAUGCAGCCAUGCCGCGUGUAUGAAGAAGGCCUUCGGGUUGUAAAGUACUUUCAGCGGGGAGGAAGGUGUUGUGGUUAAUAACCACAGCAAUUGACGUUACCCGCAGAAGAAGCACCGGCUAACUCCGUGCCAGCAGCCGCGGUAAUACGGAGGGUGCAAGCGUUAAUCGGAAUUACUGGGCGUAAAGCGCACGCAGGCGGUCUGUCAAGUCGGAUGUGAAAUCCCCGGGCUCAACCUGGGAACUGCAUUCGAAACUGGCAGGCUUGAGUCUUGUAGAGGGGGGUAGAAUUCCAGGUGUAGCGGUGAAAUGCGUAGAGAUCUGGAGGAAUACCGGUGGCGAAGGCGGCCCCCUGGACAAAGACUGACGCUCAGGUGCGAAAGCGUGGGGAGCAAACAGGAUUAGAUACCCUGGUAGUCCACGCCGUAAACGAUGUCUACUUGGAGGUUGUGCCCUUGAGGCGUGGCUUCCGGAGCUAACGCGUUAAGUAGACCGCCUGGGGAGUACGGCCGCAAGGUUAAAACUCAAAUGAAUUGACGGGGGCCCGCACAAGCGGUGGAGCAUGUGGUUUAAUUCGAUGCAACGCGAAGAACCUUACCUGGUCUUGACAUCCACAGAAGUUUCCAGAGAUGGAUUGGUGCCUUCGGGAACUGUGAGACAGGUGCUGCAUGGCUGUCGUCAGCUCGUGUUGUGAAAUGUUGGGUUAAGUCCCGCAACGAGCGCAACCCUUAUCCUUUGUUGCCAGCGAUUAGGUCGGGAACUCAAAGGAGACUGCCAGUGAUAAACUGGAGGAAGGUGGGGAUGACGUCAAGUCAUCAUGGCCCUUACGACCAGGGCUACACACGUGCUACAAUGGCGCAUACAAAGAGAAGCGACCUCGCGAGAGCAAGCGGACCUCAUAAAGUGCGUCGUAGUCCGGAUUGGAGUCUGCAACUCGACUCCAUGAAGUCGGAAUCGCUAGUAAUCGUGGAUCAGAAUGCCACGGUGAAUACGUUCCCGGGCCUUGUACACACCGCCCGUCACACCAUGGGAGUGGGUUGCAAAAGAAGUAGGUAGCUUAACCUUCGGGAGGGCGCUUACCACUUUGUGAUUCAUGACUGGGGUGAAGUCGUAACAAGGUAACCGUAGGGGAACCUGCGGUUG
rnacentral:rRNA from 1 species